AGAGUUUGAUCCUGGCUCAGGAUGAACGCUGGCGGUAUGCUUUACACAUGCAAGUCGUACGGGAGUUUUUAACUCUAGUGGCGGACGGGUGAGUAACACGUAAGAAUUUGCCUUUAGGAGGGGGACAACAGCUGGAAACGGCUGCUAAUACCCCAUAUGCUUUCGAGUGAAAUGGAUUUCCGCCUAAAGAGAAGCUUGCGGCUGAUUAGCUUGUUGGUGAGGUAAUGGCUCACCAAGGCGACGAUCAGUAUCUGGUUUGAGAGGACGAUCAGACACACUGGAACUGAGACACGGUCCAGACUCCUACGGGAGGCAGCAGUGGGGAAUUUUCCGCAAUGGGCGCAAGCCUGACGGAGCAAUACCGCGUGAGGGAUGAAGGCCUAUGGGUUGUAAACCUCUUUUUUUAGGGAGGAACAAAAUGACGUGUACCUAAAGAAUAAGCAUCGGCUAACUCCGUGCCAGCCGCCGCGGUAAUUC
rnacentral:rRNA from 1 species